UGGGUGCAGGUGAUGAGAAGCAAGACAGGGACAUCAGAUCUCCUUCCGUGGGGAGUGAUCGACUAAAGUCUCAAUGGGAAUCUCUCUGAUGCAUUCU
rnacentral:snoRNA from 1 species